UGGGGAAUCUUGGACAAUGGGGGCAACCCUGAUCCAGCCAUGCCGCGUGAGUGAUGAAGGCCUUAGGGUCGUAAAGCUCUUUCAACGGUGAAGAUGAUGACGGUAGCCGUAGAAGAAGCCCCGGCUAACUUCGUGCCAGCAGCCGCGGUAAUACGAAGGGGGCAAGCGUUGUUCGGAAUUACUGGGCGUAAAGGGCGUGUAGGCGGUCUAAUCAGUCAGUGGUGAAAUCCCGGGGCUCAACCCCGGAACUGCCUCCAAAACUAUUGGUCUAGAGUUCGAGAGAGGUGAGUGGAAUUCCAAGUGUAGAGGUGAAAUUCGUAGAUAUUUGGAGGAACACCAGUGGCGAAGGCGGCUCACUGGCUCGAUACUGACGCUGAGGUGCGAAAGUGUGGGGAGCAAACAGGAUUAGAUAGCCCUGGUAGUCCACACCGUAAACGAUGAAUGCCAGUCGUCGGGUAGCAUGCUAUUCGGUGACACACCUAACGGAUUAAGCAUUCCGCCUGGGGAGUACGGUC
rnacentral:rRNA from 1 species